UACUGCAUCAGGAACUGAUUGGAUAAUAAUCAGCCACCAUCAGUUCCUAAUGCAUUGCC
rnacentral:pre_miRNA from 1 species